UUUUCUACGCACGUUUAAGUUGGAUUCACAACGGAUAUGGGGUAGGAAGGUAUUUGGAACGUUCUUCAACGAGUAGAUCUCUUGUGAGGAUUAAAGGCUACCGAUCGAGGAGUGUGUGAAAAGCUUGGAUCAUCGGAGUGACUAAAUCUAGUCAUCAACUUCGGCAAAGGAGAAAUCGCAUAGGAGAUCUCGUCAAGGAAUAUCGCAAAUCAGGUGUGUAACGAACCC